GGAUAGCCCAGAGAAAUUUGGAUUAAUACCUCAUAGGAAUGUAGUCUCGCAUGAGACAGCAUUUAAAGAUUUAUCACUUGAAGAUGGGCGUGCGUCUGAUUAGGUAGUUGGUGAGGUAACGGCUCACCAAGCCGACGAUCAGUAACUGGCGUGAGAGCGCGACCAGUCACACGGGCACUGAGACACGGGCCCGACUCCUACGGGAGGCAGCAGUAAGGAAUAUUGGUCAAUGGACGCAAGUCUGAACCAGCCAUGCCGCGUGGAGGAUGAAGGCCCUCUGGGUUGUAAACUUCUUUUAUUUGGGACGAAACACUUUCUUUCUAGAGAGCUUGACGGUACCAGAUGAAUAAGCACCGGCUAACUCCGUGCCAGCAGCCGCGGUAAUACGGAGGGUGCAAGCGUUAUCCGGAUUCACUGGGUUUAAAGGGUGCGUAGGCGGAUAUGUAAGUCCGUGGUGAAAUCUCCGAGCUUAACUCGGAAACUGCCAUGGAUACUAUAUAUCUUGAAUGUUGUGGAGGUUAGCGGAAUAGUUCAUGUAGCGGUGAAAUGCUUAGAUAUGACCUAGAACACCGAUUGCGAAGGCAGCUGGCUACACAACGAUUGACGCUGAGGCACGAAAGCGUGGGGAUCAAACAGGAUUAGAUACCCUGGUAGUCCACGCCCUAAACGAUGAUUACUCGACAUUUGCGAUAUACAGUAAGUGUCUGAGCGAAAGCAUUAAGUAAUCC
rnacentral:rRNA from 1 species